rnacentral:rRNA from 1 species
UCGUGGAUUGAUUUGUCAGGUUGAUUCCGGUAACGGACGAGACCCCAACCUACUAACUAGCUCUGGUUGCUAUGCAGCUAGCCAGCUUCUUAGAGGGACUCUCGGAAUGAAACCGAAGGAGGUGGGGCAAUAACA